UCAAACUUGGUCAUUUAGAGGAAGUAAAAGUCGUAACAAGGUUUCCGUAGGUGAACCUGCGGAAGGAUCAUUACAAAUCUUUUGCGAGUCUGCGUGCUUAACUGUGCGCAGUUCUCACACAUUAGCACAGGGCCGCAAGGUUCUGAUGUUUACGCUUGUAUGUUUGACAGAGUUAGUUGAGAAUAAACAAAGACAACUUUUAACAAUGGAUCUCUUGGCUCUUUAGAGGAAGUAAAAGUCGUAACAAGGUUUCCGUAGGUGAACCUGCGGAAGGAUCAUUACAAAUCUUUUGCGAGUCUGCGUGCUUAACUGUGCGCAGUUCUCACACAUUAGCACAGGGCCGCAAGGUUCUGAUGUUUACGCUUGUAUGUUUGACAGAGUUAGUUGAGAAUAAACAAAGACAACUUUUAACAAUGGAUCUCUUGGCUCUUGCAUCGAUGAAGAACGCAGC
rnacentral:misc_RNA from 1 species